rnacentral:rRNA from 1 species
UACGUAGGCAGCAAGCGUUGUUCGGAGUUACUGGGCGUAAAGGGUGUGUAGGCGGUUGUCUAAGUUUGGUGUGAAAUCUCCCGGCUCAACUGGGAGGGUGCGCCGAAUACUGAAUGACUAGAGUGCGGGAGAGGAAAGUGGAAUUCCUGGUGUAGCGGUGAAAUGCGUAGAUAUCAGGAGGAACACCCGUGGCGAAGGCGGCUCUCUGGGACGGUACUGACGCUGAGACGCGAAAGCGUGGGGAGCGAACAGG